GGCGGAGCACAGCCGUCCCGGGACGCUCAGCGGAGGAGAGCUGGCCAGGCGGCGGGACGUCGGGUCCACUCGCUGCUGCCGCGCGCCGGGAGCUGAGCGUCUCGGGAGAAAGUGUGGGCACCCCCUGGAAACGUGUUAACGACCAGUGCCCUCAGACCUGCCUCCUACCGCGCUUGCAGGCGCUUCCGAGCUGGCCUCAGCCUUGACAAAAGCCCGCGACUCUAAGGCACCCAGUAACUGCUACGCCUUUAAAACGAACACGAUCUUUAAUCAGAGCGCAUUUCUAGUCCACGAAACGCAGGUUGGCUAAAGAUGCGGUUUCUGGCUUUUUGAUUAGUGAGCGAUGUCCGUGAAAGCACGAAUUUGGGGGCCUGCAAAGUAUACAGCCAUGUUGAAACAAAAAACAAAACAAAACAAAAAACUCGGACUCGAUUCUCACUGAAAUACGCCAGCAUUGAGCUGUCAUGAUAUUUUCCCGUGAGAGAUGGAUCGAAAGGCGCCUCUAAGGGAAUUUCAGAAUAAUAUUGUUUCCCUUUCCUUGAGCGAGACUGAAAAACUUUAGAAAAAGAAAAGCUUGUACCUAGAACAAAGGAUCACACCGAAUACAUAUCCUAGAAUAUAGUUCACAUCCCUCGCGUCAAGAAAAGAUUUUUGCUGAAUUUCAGUCUACAAUUUGAGGCUACAAAAAUAAGAACUACUGCCUCCCUUGUUUCUGGAGAAACUGCUGGAGUGUGCUCGGAACAGCCGUGGUUUCUGAAACGGGCUCUCAGAGACAGAAUGAGUGUGGAUGAUCAGAGAGUCCUGACUCUGGAGCUGCUCCCUACAUGUUUCAGCUGUCUGCUCAGACAUGUAGACGAUUCCCCACACUUACAACCAAAAUGACGAUGAAUAAAAUGAUUUGAGACUUUUAUGGUAGGUAUUAUGAUGUUUCAUAACUUUUCCAAGCAUAGAGUUUUGCUUUUGAUAGAAGUGUUCUGAAAAUAAGGCAGUGCAUUUGAAAGUACUGUGAGAAAAACAUGGCGCUUUAAAAAUGUAUUGAAACACAUGAAAUGACAUCCUGAAUCAAAUUUAGAAAAUAGUGGAAAUACUAGAUUUUUAAAUCCUCAUGUCCUUAUAGAUUUUUGUCACAGAGUAGUAGGCUUAUAACGUAUAUAAUUUUGUAUCUUGUUCUUUUCCCUUAACAUUGGAUAGUAACAGUUUCCUGUAUUGUUAUGGAUCAGCCUAAACAUCAUUUAAAAUGCUGCAGAGUAUUCUAGGGAGCUGUGUAUUAAUGUACUUAAUAGUUCCUCUGCUUCGAGCCAUUUAUAUUGUUUCUAUUUUGUAAUAUUAUAAAUAAUGCUGCAACGAUCAUCUUGUUCCUACAGCUUUUUUUUUUUUUUAAUGUUUACAAUUAGUCCCCUGGGGUGGAAACCAAGGAGUAGAAUUACUGGGUGAAAUGAAUGAACACACUAUGCAUUAUUUUUCAAAAAUAAUAUAUCAGUUUACCAUGUCACCAUACAGUUUGGCACAAUUGGACAUUCUUAUUUUUUUAAAAAAUCACUGAUAAGAUGGGUGAAAUGGUAUUCGACUGUUCUUUAAUUUGCAUUUUUGUUUACUAGUAAUAUAAAAAAAACUUUUAUAUAUCUUUGCUAACAAUAGAUUAUCUUCUGUAAAGUGCCCUUUGCUUUAUCUCUUG